rnacentral:rRNA from 1 species
AACGAACGCUGGCGGCAGGCUUAACACAUGCAAGUCGAACGCACCUUUCGGGGUGAGUGGCGGACGGGUGAGUAACGCGUGGGGAUCUACCCUUCUCUACCGUAUCGCUCCGGUAAACUGGAAUUCAUGCCGUAUACGUCCUUAGGGGGUACGAUCUAUCGGGGCAGGAUGGGCCCGCGUUGGAUUGGCUGGUUGGUGGGGUAAUGGCCUACCAAGGCGCGGUACCAUAGCUGGUCUAAGAGGAUGAUACGCCACAUUGGGACUGAGACACGGCCUAAACUCGUACGCGAGGGAGCAGAAGAUUAUACUGGAGGAGGGGGGCAAGCGUGAUACAGCCAUGUGGGGUAAGACAUGAAGGGGGUAGGGUUCUAAAGCUGUCUGAGAGGGGACGAUAAUGACGGUACCGACAGAAGAAGCCCCGGCUAACUACGUG